rnacentral:rRNA from 1 species
UGGGGAAUUUUGGACAAUGGGCGAAAGCCUGAUCCAGCAAUGCCGCGUGUGUGAAGAAGGCCUUCGGGUUGUAAAGCACUUUUGUCCGGAAAGAAAUCCUUGGCUCUAAUACAGUCGGGGGAUGACGGUACCGGAAGAAUAAGCACCGGCUAACUACGUGCCAGCAGCCGCGGUAAUACGUAGGGUGCAAGCGUUAAUCGGAAUUACUGGGCGUAAAGCGUGCGCAGGCGGUUUGCUAAGACCGAUGUGAAAUCCCCGGGCUCAACCUGGGAACUGCAUUGGUGACUGGCAGGCUAGAGUAUGGCAGAGGGGGGUAGAAUUCCACGUGUAGCAGUGAAAUGCGUAGAGAUGUGGAGGAAUACCGAUGGCGAAGGCAGCCCCCUGGGCCAAUACUGACGCUCAUGCACGAAAGCGUGGGGAGCAAACAGGAUUAGAUACCCUGGUAGUCCACGCCCUAAACGAUGUCAACUAGUUGUUGGGGAUUCAUUUCCUAGUAACGUAGCUAACGCGUGAAGUUGACCGCCUGGGGAGUACGGUCGCAAGAUUAAAACUUAAAUGAAUUGACGGGGUCAUAGCUGUUUUCU